rnacentral:rRNA from 1 species
UUGUGAGGUUAAGCGACUAAGCGUACACGGUGGAUGCCCUGGCAGUCAGAGGCGAUGAAGGACGUGCUAAUCUGCGAUAAGCGUCGGUGAGGUGAUAUGAACCGUUAUAACCGGCGAUUUCCGAAUGGGGAAACCCAGUGUGUUUCGACACACUAUCAUUAACUGAAUCCAUAGGUUAAUGAGGCGAACCGGGGGAACUGAAACAUCUAAGUACCCCGAGGAAAAGAAAUCAACCGAGAUUCCCCCAGUAGCGGCGAGCGAACGGGGAGGAGCCCAGAGCCUGAAUCAGUGUGUGUGUUAGUGGAAGCGUCUGGAAAGGCGCGCGAUACAGGGUGACAGCCCCGUACACAAAAAUGCACAUAUUGUGAGCUCGAUGAGUAGGGCGGGACACGUGGUAUCCUGUCUGAAUAUGGGGGGACCAUCCUCCAAGGCUAAAUACUCCUGACUGACCGAUAGUGAACCAGUACCGUGAGGGAAAGGCGAAAAGAACCCCGGCGAGGGGAGUGAAAAAGAACCUGAAACCGUGUACGUACAAGCAGUGGGAGCCUCUUUAUGGGGUGACUGCGUACCUUUUGUAUAAUGGGUCAGCGACUUAUAUUCUGUAGCAAGGUUAACCGAAUAGGGGAGCCGAAGGGAAACCGAGUCUUAACUGGGCGUUAAGUUGCAGGGUAUAGACCCGAAACCCGGUGAUCUAGCCAUGGGCAGGUUGAAGGUUGGGUAACACUAACUGGAGGACCGAACCGACUAAUGUUGAAAAAUUAGCGGAUGACUUGUGGCUGGGGGUGAAAGGCCAAUCAAACCGGGAGAUAGCUGGUUCUCCCCGAAAGCUAUUUAGGUAGCGCCUCGUGAAUUCAUCUCCGGGGGUAGAGCACUGUUUCGGCAAGGGGGUCAUCCCGACUUACCAACCCGAUGCAAACUGCGAAUACCGGAGAAUGUUAUCACGGGAGACACACGGCGGGUGCUAACGUCCGUCGUGAAGAGGGAAACAACCCAGACCGCCAGCUAAGGUCCCAAAGUCAUGGUUAAGUGGGAAACGAUGUGGGAAGGCCCAGACAGCCAGGAUGUUGGCUUAGAAGCAGCCAUCAUUUAAAGAAAGCGUAAUAGCUCACUGGUCGAGUCGGCCUGCGCGGAAGAUGUAACGGGGCUAAACCAUGCACCGAAGCUGCGGCAGCGACACUAUGUGUUGUUGGGUAGGGGAGCGUUCUGUAAGCCUGUGAAGGUGGCCUGUGAGGGUUGCUGGAGGUAUCAGAAGUGCGAAUGCUGACAUAAGUAACGAUAAAGCGGGUGAAAAGCCCGCUCGCCGGAAGACCAAGGGUUCCUGUCCAACGUUAAUCGGGGCAGGGUGAGUCGACCCCUAAGGCGAGGCCGAAAGGCGUAGUCGAUGGGAAACAGGUUAAUAUUCCUGUACUUGGUGUUACUGCGAAGGGGGGACGGAGAAGGCUAUGUUGGCCGGGCGACGGUUGUCCCGGUUUAAGCGUGUAGGCUGGUUUUCCAGGCAAAUCCGGAAAACCAAGGCUGAGGCGUGAUGACGAGGCACUACGGUGCUGAAGCGACAAAUGCCCUGCUUCCAGGAAAAGCCUCUAAGCAUCAGGUAACAUCAAAUCGUACCCCAAACCGACACAGGUGGUCAGGUAGAGAAUACCAAGGCGCUUGAGAGAACUCGGGUGAAGGAACUAGGCAAAAUGGUGCCGUAACUUCGGGAGAAGGCACGCUGAUAUGUAGGUGAAGCGACUUGCUCGUGGAGCUGAAAUCAGUCGAAGAUACCAGCUGGCUGCAACUGUUUAUUAAAAACACAGCACUGUGCAAACACGAAAGUGGACGUAUACGGUGUGACGCCUGCCCGGUGCCGGAAGGUUAAUUGAUGGGGUUAGCGGUAACGCGAAGCUCUUGAUCGAAGCCCCGGUAAACGGCGGCCGUAACUAUAACGGUCCUAAGGUAGCGAAAUUCCUUGUCGGGUAAGUUCCGACCUGCACGAAUGGCGUAAUGAUGGCCAGGCUGUCUCCACCCGAGACUCAGUGAAAUUGAACUCGCUGUGAAGAUGCAGUGUACCCGCGGCAAGACGGAAAGACCCCGUGAACCUUUACUAUAGCUUGACACUGAACAUUGAGCCUUGAUGUGUAGGAUAGGUGGGAGGCUUUGAAGUGUGGACGCCAGUCUGCAUGGAGCCGACCUUGAAAUACCACCCUUUAAUGUUUGAUGUUCUAACGUUGGCCCGUAAUCCGGGUUGCGGACAGUGUCUGGUGGGUAGUUUGACUGGGGCGGUCUCCUCCUAAAGAGUAACGGAGGAGCACGAAGGUUGGCUAAUCCUGGUCGGACAUCAGGAGGUUAGUGCAAUGGCAUAAGCCAGCUUGACUGCGAGCGUGACGGCGCGAGCAGGUGCGAAAGCAGGUCAUAGUGAUCCGGUGGUUCUGAAUGGAAGGGCCAUCGCUCAACGGAUAAAAGGUACUCCGGGGAUAACAGGCUGAUACCGCCCAAGAGUUCAUAUCGACGGCGGUGUUUGGCACCUCGAUGUCGGCUCAUCACAUCCUGGGGCUGAAGUAGGUCCCAAGGGUAUGGCUGUUCGCCAUUUAAAGUGGUACGCGAGCUGGGUUUAGAACGUCGUGAGACAGUUCGGUCCCUAUCUGCCGUGGGCGCUGGAGAACUGAGGGGGGCUGCUCCUAGUACGAGAGGACCGGAGUGGACGCAUCACUGGUGUUCGGGUUGUCAUGCCAAUGGCACUGCCCGGUAGCUAAAUGCGGAAGAGAUAAGUGCUGAAAGCAUCUAAGCACGAAACUUGCCCCGAGAUGAGUUCUCCCUGAGACUUAGAGUCUCCUGAAGGAACGUUGAAGACGACGACGUUGAUAGGCCGGGUGUGUAAGCGCAGCGAUGCGUUGAGCUAACCGGUACUAAUGAACCGUGAGGCUUAACCUUACAACGCCGAAG